AACGUAGGAGGCGAGCGUUAUCCGGAUUUACUGGGCGUAAAGCGCACGCAGGUGGUGGCGUGAGUCGGACGUGAAAGCUCCCGGCUUAACUGGGCGAGGCCGUUCGAGACUGCGUCACUUGAGGUUGGGAGAGGGGUGCGGAAUUCCCGGUGUAGUGGUGGAAUGCGUAGAGAUCGGGAGGAACACCAGUGGCGAAAGCGGCACCCUGGCCCACACCUGACGCUGAGGUGCGAAAGCGUGGGGAGCAAACAGG
rnacentral:rRNA from 1 species